rnacentral:rRNA from 1 species
AGCAGCCGCGGUAAUUCCAGCUCCAAUAGCGUAUAUUAAAGUUGUUGCAGUUAAAAAGCUCGUAGUUGAAUUUCGGAGUUCUACCGUUGGUCAGGCUUUGUCUGUACUGACGUGUAGAAUUUCUACCUUCUGGGGAACCAUCAUGUUAUUAAUUUAGUGUGAUGGGAAACCAGGACCUUUACCUUGAAAAAUUAGAGUGUUCAAAGCAGGCUUAUGUCUGAAUACAUUAGCAUGGAAUAAUAGAAUAGGACGGUGGUCCUGUUUUGUUGGUUUCUGAAUCACCGUAAUGAUUAAUAGGGAUAGUUGGGGGCAUUAGUAUUCAAUUGUCAGAGGUGAAAUUCUUGGAUUUAUUGAAGACUAACUUCUGCGAAAGCAUUUGCCAAGGAUGUUUUCAUUAAUCAAGAACGAAAGUUAGGGGAUCGAAGACGAUCAGAUACCGUCGUAGUCUUAACCAUAAACUAUGCCGACUAGGGA